rnacentral:rRNA from 1 species
UACGAAGGGGGGCUAGCGUUGCUCGGAAUGACUGGGCGUAAAGGGCGCGUAGGCGGCUUGUACAGUCAGAUGUGAAAUUCCUGGGCUCAACCUGGGGGGCUGCAUUUGAUACGUAUGGGCUUGAGUGGGGAAGAGGGUCGUGGAAUUCCCGGUGUAGUGGUGAAAUGCGUAGAUAUCGGGAGGAACACCAGUGGCGAAGGCGACUACCUGGCCCAUUCUUGACGCUGAGGCGCGAAAGCUAGGGGAGCGAACGGG